rnacentral:rRNA from 1 species
AUUGAACGCUGGCGGCAUGCCUUACACAUGCAAGUCGAACGGCAGCACGGGUGCUUGCACCUGGUGGCGAGUGGCGAACGGGUGAGUAAUACAUCGGAACAUGUCCUGUAGUGGGGGAUAGCCCGGCGAAAGCCGGAUUAAUACCGCAUACGAUCUACGGAUGAAAGCGGGGGACCUUCGGGCCUCGCGCUAUAGGGUUGGCCGAUGGCUGAUUAGCUAGUUGGUGGGGUAAAGGCCUACCAAGGCGACGAUCAGUAGCUGGUCUGAGAGGACGACCAGCCACACUGGGACUGAGACACGGCCCAGACUCCUACGGGAGGCAGCAGUGGGGAAUUUUGGACAAUGGGCGCAAGCCUGAUCCAGCAAUGCCGCGUGUGUGAAGAAGGCCUUCGGGUUGUAAAGCACUUUUGUCCGGAAAGAAAUCCUUGGCCCUAAUACGGUCGGGGGAUGACGGUACCGGAAGAAUAAGCACCGGCUAACUACGUG